CUAAGAAGUGAGAAAAGAAAUGGGAAAGUUAAAACUACCUGCCCGGUUGAUGUGGGACAUGUGGCUCUGCGGGCUGGCUCUUCUCCUGCUCCCCUCCCCCAGUGUGCUGUGAUUUCUACUCCCACUGGCACACCCAAGGAAAGAGAAGAAAGCAUGGCUGCCCUUAGCUUCAUGACCCUGCCUGAAGGUGGAAGGCAAGGAUUAGAGUUUUAAGUCAUAGACUCACUAACAUUUUUCCCUCCUAGAGUGUCAACCCUUCACAGACUGUGCCUACUACGAGCUUGAACCAAUCUGAACAGGGCAAUGGGUUUCCACCGAGUGAUUUGCUUCUCUGACCAGCUGCCCUGACCUAGGGGAGGACUGCACACUUUGGAGCCCAGCUGCCUAGCGUUUAUUCCCAGCUCUGCCCCUUUACUAACCAGCUGGGUGACCUUGAGCCAGUUUCUCACCUCUCCAUGUCUUCGUUCCUCAUCCAGAAAUGAGGCAAGUAAUGGAGCAGUUCCGGCUACAUCUGUUCAAGAAAACAUAACGGCAAAAAAGGAAGGAAGUAGUUUGGUGAUGGCACAACUGCAGAGUCAGAUAAAGAAACUACAGCCCAGAAGUAAACAGUGAUGCAUUUCUUUUCUGGUUCUUAAACUACCCUGCUGGGUUGGACGAUGCAUCAGAGCUUGAACUAAAAACCAGAACCAGCUUCUCUCCACCAGCAACCUGAGAACUGAACCUGAUAGAUGGCUGGGAGGACGUGGUCCCAUUCUUUGACUCUUGAGGUGGAAAGAAAGCCGUCUUCAUUCAUUAAUGUUGGAUCUACUUUAACAUUUCACUGUUGUCCUUUCUUUCUCUGCAUGCACUUCUUUACACACCCUGCAAGAGGGAAGAACAGCUGUCUGGAGUGAGAGCACCAGGCUCUUUUAUAGAAUACCUGUGUCACCUUUUGCAACUUCACGUCUUCUCCCUCUGUAAAUUAAGGAUUAUGAUAAUGUCCUUCACAUAGCAUUGUUGUGUAA